rnacentral:tRNA from 1 species
GGGCGAAUAGCUCAGCGGGAGAGCGCUCGCCUUACAAGCGAGAGGUGGCAGGUUCGACACCUGCUUCGCCCACCA